AUUAAACGCUGGCGGCAUGCCUUACACAUGCAAGUCGAACGGCAGCACGGGGCAACCUGGUGGCGAGUGGCGAACGGGUGAGUAAUGCAUCGGAACGUACCUUUCAGUGGGGGAUAACGUAGCGAAAGUUACGCUAAUACCGCAUAUUCUGUGAGCAGAAAAGCGGGGGAUCGCAAGACCUUGCGCUGAUUGAGCGGCCGAUGUCAGAUUAGCUAGUUGGUGAGGUAAAGGCUCACCAAGGCGACGAUCUGUAGCGGGUCUGAGAGGAUGAUCCGUCACACUGGAACUGAGACACGGUCCAGACUCCUACGGGAGGCAGCAGUGGGGAAUUUUGGACAAUGGGGGCAACCCUGAUCCAGCCAUGCCGCGUGAGUGAAGAAGGCCUUCGGGUUGUAAAGCUCUUUCGGCCGGGAAGAAAUCGCACGGGCUAAUACCCUGCGUGGAUGACGGUACCGGAAUAAGAAGCACCGGCUAACUACGUGCCAGCAGCCGCGGUAACAC
rnacentral:rRNA from 1 species